rnacentral:lncRNA from 1 species
GCCUGUGUGUGAUGAGCUGCCCCAUUGCCCCCUUGGGGCUUGCAUGGGGACAUCCUGCAGCACCAGAUGUUAAUGGCACUGCGUGGGGACAGCAAAACCUGGACUAAGAGAAUGGAGUCCAUCAGCCAGGCGGAAGGCGAAGCGGCCGAGCUUCAGCUGCACACACAGCAGGAGGGAUGGGGAACGCGCCGGGAGCGAGAUGCAAACAGACCCAGGGAGGGGGAAAGCAGAGGCGUCGUGGAAGGGCUGGAAGACAAAAUGGUUUCCUUGGGAAAAGGCUGGCAAGCCUCAGCUGGAAAGGGACAGCAAGGGAGAGAUGAGAGAGCUGCUCCGGGUUGUGGAGAGAAGAGGAGCAUGGUUUGGGUAAAGCUGAGCUCACCCUGGCCCUUGACAUGGAACGUGCAGCCCAUGCUGAUUGCAUGUGAGCAUCCUCCUGCAGGCUCCAACUCAGUGCUGGGCAGAGGCAUGAGCACAGGCAGAGCCGUAUCACCAGAAAGACAAAGGGUGAGAAAACAACUUCAUUAUCUCUGUGCUGUGACCUCCAGUGCAAGCCACUCGGUGUGUGGCUCCCCUGCAUUGUGCACAAAGAUCAGUGGAAGGAAGCAUGGACCUGAAAAGACACCGAUGCGUUAAUGAGCAGAAAUAAAGCCACUUGUAGAGGAUGCUGCUUCCA